UAUAGAAAAAAAAGAAACAGUUUGUAACCCUAACUUCCCAUCUUCCAAUCCGUAGAAUUUGGUGCGAUCACAAGGGAAAUUCCAUCGCUUUCUAUGGAGUACAGAUUUUAUACCAGUUCUUUUCCUAUCUAAAUAGUUCAAUUUAUUUUUGAUGUCGUAUUUGCAGCAUCAAUUCAAGUUACGUUUUGGUGGAAAGAAAUUGAAGGAAAACUUCAACUAUUCCAAAAAUUCGAAGGUUUGUUUAGGACUAGUUCUACUAUAUUAUUUAAGUUUUAAGAUUCUUUGUAGUUUAACAUUAAAUAUUCGUUUAAUAAUUUUCAAUUUUAUUGACUAGUAUGCAAUGCUCGCUCAAAUAAAAAAUUUGGGUAUUUUCGUAGUUGGAGGUAAAUUCGUAGCUAGUGAAUCCAUAUUUGCUUAUAUAUUAUAGUAAUUUACAUUUCGGGGUAUAAUAAGAUGUUUUUGAGAACCAUUUUAAAUUUAAAAUUGGUUCUCUUUAAUUCCGCAUUUCAUGUAAUAACCAAUCAUGCAGUUUAUCUGUGUUAUAUGAAGUAUAUAUUUGUUUAAGAUAUAUCUGUUCAAUUAUGUGGAUUAAGCUCAUUGUAAUAAGUACUAGUAAUAUACACUACAGUGAUAGUUGGUGCUAAGAUAAUGGGGCUAACGCUGAAUUGAGGAAAGUGAGGCGUCGGCGAGGAAUAAGGAUUCAUACUCUCGCUUUUUUAAUACAAUCAAGUCAUAGAAAUGCUAUGUUAUGGCUUAUUAUUUAAGUAGUAUUACUAUUCUUUUAGCAUGAUCCUCUUGAACUGUUACAAUUACAGUCUUAGACCCUGUAAUUCAGCGGCUUUGAUUCGUUUUGCUCUAGAGAGACCUGUUUUGGUUAUUAAAAGUCUUCUAGCUAUGAGACACACGUUAUGGUUAUGAUUCAGUGUUUUAAUGUUGUGGAAGAAACGAACAGUUACCAUGGAUGCAAUGUGUUUUCUGAUUGUAGAAUGAUCUGGUCUUGUUUUCCAAUUAGUAAAGAGCUUAAUCUGAGACAAUUGAAUUAUCUUUUAUAAUAAUUGCGACUGUUUCAUGAUCCCCUGAUAGCUGAUAGUCAGAAUAGUCAGCAUUUUUAAGUGAAACAAGAAUUAGAUGCAGAUGUUCUAUUUUUUAACUUUCAUAUUUGCGGAUUGCAAAUUUUCUGACUCUUGAGUUUGGUUUAAGACUUGAAUGUACCAAGGAAUUGGUGACACAGAGAGGCUAUUCUGAGUGGCAUUGUUGCCAUACUUGUAGUUCAAAAUCAUUAUAGCAUGUUCUGCAAUAGAAAUUUUGACAUUUUUUCUUAUUUUGUAAGAUAUGGGGUUCAAGAGAGAACAUAUUCGUGUCAAUUUGACAGACUCAUUUAUCUAAUUUCUGCUGAAAAAGGUUGCCUUUUCCUGUUGUUAAAUCUGGUCGACAUCUGGAAUGAUUACUGGAGUUUAGCCAUGGCAAGAAAUCCUGUGGGCUCUCAGUUUUGAAUCUUGUUCUUAUAUUUUUCACCAAUACUUAUGGCAACAAGUCAUUUCCUUUCUGGUUUCAUCCACCCUUUGGAUGUGAAACUUUUAUUAUAUUGCACAUGUGAUUUUCAUUCAAACAUGUUUGGCUUAUACAUUAUCCCUUGAUCGAGUUUAGAUUAUGUCAAGUAUGCUUUUGCAGGACUACUCAACAGGAAGUGGACGUGCCGGAGUGGUUAUCGGGCAUGACUAGAAAUCAUGUGGGCUUUGCCCGCGCAGGUUCGAAUCCUGCCGUCCACGUAUCUGCUGGUUUCUAACAGGAAGUGGACGUGCCGGAGUGGUUAUCGGGCAUGACUAGAAAUCAUGUGGGCUUUGCCCGCGCAGGUUCGAAUCCUGCCGUCCACGUAUCUGCUGGCCAGUUUUAAUUUUAUAAUCUUCAGUACUCAAAAGUAUGUAAUCAGUUGAGAUGGUGCUUGCUCUUUAAACAUAGUUCAUUUUGAAACAGAUUUUGAGCACAUUCACAUAGCAACAGCAUGUCAUGUAACUCCCGUAUUUUGAGUUUGAUCAAUUGGUGGUUUGGGGCUUGGGUACCAUAAAUUAGAAUUCAUUUGGCAGGAUAAAAACAUAUUGGCAAGUUAACUUGUAAUCUCAAGUGUUACUAAAAUUCUAUUAUUGGCGAUUCUUGAAAGAAAUGUACAUUAAUAACAUUCCUGAAUUCUAAUAUGAUAUUAUGUUUAAAGUGCAAGUAAUUUAUUAUCUAACUCUGGACUGUAUUAUUCUUUCUAUGAAGGUUUCUAACAGGAAGUGGACGUGCCGGAGUGGUUAUCGGGCAUGACUAGAAAUCAUGUGGGCUUUGCCCGCGCAGGUUCGAAUCCUGCCGUCCACGUAUCUGCUGUUUUCUAACAGGAAGUGGACGUGCCGGAGUGGUUAUCGGCAUGACUAGAAAUCAUGUGGGCUUUGCCCGCGCAGGUUCGAAUCCUGCCGUCCACGUAUCUGCUGUUUUCUAACAGGAAGUGGACGUGCCGGAGUGGUUAUCGGGCAUGACUAGAAAUCAUGUGGGCUUUGCCCGCGCAGGUUCGAAUCCUGCCGUCCACGUAUCUGCUGGUUUCUAACAGGAAGUGGACGUGCCGGAGUGGUUAUCGGGCAUGACUAGAAAUCAUGUGGGCUUUGCCCGCGCAGGUUCGAAUCCUGCCGUCCACGUAUCUGCUGUUUUCUAACAGGAAGUGGACGUGCCGGAGUGGUUAUCGGGCAUGACUAGAAAUCAUGUGGGCUUUGCCCGCGCAGGUUCGAAUCCUGCCGUCCACGUAUCUGCUGUUUUCUAACAGGAAGUGGACGUGCCGGAGUGGUUAUCGGGCAUGACUAGAAAUCAUGUGGGCUUUGCCCGCGCAGGUUCGAAUCCUGCCGUCCACGUAUCUGCUGAUUUGGAGAACAUUGACAUGGCAACAGCAUGUCCAGUAAGGCUGUAACUCCCGUAUUUUGAGCAUGAUCAAUCGGUGGUUUGGGGCUUGGGUACCAUAAAUGAGAAUCAAUUUGGCAGGAGAACAACAUAUUGGCAAGUAAACUUGUAAUCUGUAGUGUUGCCAAAAUUCUAGUUUUUGGCAAUUCUUGAAGCCAGCCAGAAAUGUGCAGUUAUUUGCAUUAUGUCGUCCUUGGUUUUACUUCCAGCCAGACUAUCAGACGAAUAAGAUAGAGCCAGUUCUGUUCUGCUGCCUUUUCUCCAUCCUGGCAUCUACUAUCGACUUUCUAAAUUGUAGCAUUGGGAUUGACUAGAAAUCAACAUCCUGAAUUCUAAUAUGAUAUUACAUUUAAGUUGUGAGUAAUUUAUUAUCUAACUCUGGACAGUAUUCUUUCUAUGAAGUUUUCUAAGAAAUAGUGGACGUGCCGGAGUGGUUAUCGGGCAUGACUAGAAAUCAUGUGGGCUUUGCCCGCGCAGAUUUGGAGAACAGACAUGGCAACUGCAUGUCCUGUAACACCUGUAUUUUGAGCUGGAUCAAGUAGUGGUUUGUGGCUUGUGGCUUGGGUAUCCAUUAAUGAGAAUCAUUUGGCAGGAGAAUAACAUAUUGGCAAGUAAACUUGUAAUCUGUAAUGUUGCCAAAAUUCUAGUUAUGGCGAUUGUUUAAACCGUCCUAGAAAUGUGAAUUUAUUGACAUUACGUUAUUUGCUUUUACUUCCACCCAGACAAAAUCAGACGAAUAAGAUAGAGGCAGUGCUGUUCUGCUGCCUUUUUUCCCCUAUCCAGGCAUCUACUGUCAUCAACUUUCUAAAUUGUAGCAUUGGGUUGACUAGAAAUCUUACAUUCCUGAAUCCUAAUAUGAUAUUACGUUUAAGUUGUGAGUAAUUUAUUAUCUAACUCUGGACAGUAUUGUUUCUAUGAAGUUUUCUAACAGGAAGUGGACGUGCCGGAGUGGUUAUCGGGCAUGACUAGAAAUCAUGUGGGCUUUGCCCGCGCAGGUUCGAAUCCUGCCGUCCACGUAUCUGCUGGUCAGUUUUAAUUUUUUUUCUUUACUGCUCAAAAGUAUAUAUUCAGUUAGGAUGGUGCUUGCUCUUUUACAAAGUUCAUUUUGUCACAGAUUUUGAGCACAUUGACAUGGCAAGAGCAUGUCCUGUAGCUCCGUAUUUUGUGCUGGAUCAAUUGCUGGUUUGUGGCUUCGGUACCAUUAAUGAGAAUUCAUUUGGCAGGAGAACAACGUAUUGGCAAAGAUAAUCAGAUGAAUGUGAUAGAGACAGUACUGUUCUGUUGUCGUUUUUUCCCCAUCCAGUAGUAUUCUGCCUGUGAGGUUUUCUAACAGGAAGUGGACGUGCCGGAGUGGUUAUCGGGCAUGACUAGAAAUCAUGUGGGCUUUGCCCGCGCAGGAAGUGGACGUGCUAGAGUGGUUAUCGGGCAUGACUAGAAACCUUGUGGGCUUUGCUCUUGGAGGUUUGAUCCUGCUGUUUACGUUUCUGUUGCUUGGUCCAAUAUUUUUACUUGAAUGGAUGGAGUUUGUCAAGAUUAUGGAGGAGCUACACUUUUUGAUGAAAGGACCACUCAUGCACCUUUUCUUGUUUGUUACCUAUUUGGUUUCAUCUUCUUGAUUCCUUCCUAGCAGUAUCCAUCAUAAAAUAAUGAACUUAAAAUUCACUACUGUGUAAAAUUCUGUCAUUAUUUAUUUCUGGCUGAGGUUGUCGCUGUGAUAGAGCUGUA